rnacentral:rRNA from 1 species
GACGAACGCUGGCGGCGUGCCUAAUACAUGCCAGUAGAACGCUGAAGGAGGAGCUUGCUUCUCCGGAUGAGUUGCGAACGGGUGAGUAACGCGUAGGUAACCUGCCUGGUAGCGGGGGAUAACUAUUGGAAACGAUAGCUAAUACCGCAUAACAGUAGAUGUUGCAAGACAUUUGCUUAAAAGGUGCAAUUGCAUCACUACCAGAUGGACCUGCGUUGUAUUAGCUAGUUGGUGAGGUAACGGCUCACCAAGGCGACGAUACAUAGCCGACCUGAGAGGGUGAUCGGCCACACUGGGACUGAGACACGGCCCAGACUCCUACGGGAGGCUGCAGUAGGGAAUCUUCGGCAAUGGACGGAAGUCUGACCGAGCAACGCCGCGUGAGUGAAGAAGGGUUUCGGAUCGUAAAGCUCUGUUGUAAGAGAAGAACGAGUGUGAGAGUGGAAAGUUCACACUGUGACGGUAUCUUACCAGAAAGGGACGGCUAACUACGUG